rnacentral:rRNA from 1 species
CGAACGCUGGCGGCGUGCUUAACACAUGCAAGUCGAACGGAAAGGCCCUGCUUUUGUGGGGUGCUCGAGUGGCGAACGGGUGAGUAACACGUGAGUAACCUGCCCUUGACUUUGGGAUAACUUCAGGAAACUGGGGCUAAUACCGGAUAGGAGCUCCUGCUGCAUGGUGGGGGUUGGAAAGUUUCGGCGGUUGGGGAUGGACUCGCGGCUUAUCAGCUUGUUGGUGGGGUAGUGGCUUACCAAGGCUUUGACGGGUAGCCGGCCUGAGAGGGUGACCGGCCACAUUGGGACUGAGAUACGGCCCAGACUCCUACGGGAGGCAGCAGUGGGGAAUAUUGCACAAUGGGCGGAAGCCUGAUGCAGCAACGCCGCGUGCGGGAUGACGGCCUUCGGGUUGUAAACCGCUUUCGCCUGUGACGAAGCGUGAGUGACGGUAAUGGGUAAAGAAGCACCGGCUAACUACGUGCCAGCAGCCGCGGUGAUACGUAGGGUGCGAGCGUUGUCCGGAUUUAUUGGGCGUAAAGGGCUCGUAGGUGGUUGAUCGCGUCGGAAGUGUAAUCUUGGGGCUUAACCCUGAGCGUGCUUUCGAUACGGGUUGACUUGAGGAAGGUAGGGGAGAAUGGAAUUCCUGGUGGAGCGGUGGAAUGCGCAGAUAUCAGGAGGAACACCAGUGGCGAAGGCGGUUCUCUGGGCCUUUCCUGACGCUGAGGAGCGAAAGCGUGGGGAGCGAACAGGCUUAGAUACCCUGGUAGUCCACGCUGUAAACGGUGGGUACUAGGUGUGGGGUCCAUUCCACGGGUUCCGUGCCGUAGCUAACGCUUUAAGUACCCCGCCUGGGGAGUACGGCCGCAAGGCUAAAACUCAAAGGAAUUGACGGGGCCCCGCACAAGCGGCGGAGCAUGCGGAUUAAUUCGAUGCAACGCGUAGAACCUUACCUGGGUUUGACAUGGAUCGGGAGUGCUCAGAGAUGGGUGUGCCUCUUUUGGGGUCGGUUCACAGGUGGUGCAUGGCUGUCGUCAGCUCGUGUCGUGAGAUGUUGGGUUAAGUCCCGCAACGAGCGCAACCCUUGUUCACUGUUGCCGGCACGUUAUGGUGGGGACUCAGUGGAGACCGCCGGGGUCAACUCGGAGGAAGGUGGGGAUGACGUCAAGUCAUCAUGCCCCUUAUGUCCAGGGCUUCACGCAUGCUACAAUGGCUGGUACAGAGAGUGGCGAGCCUGUGAGGGUGAGCGAAUCUCGGAAAGCCGGUCUCAGUUCGGAUUGGGGUCUGCAACUCGACCUCAUGAAGUCGGAGUCGCUAGUAAUCGCAGAUCAGCAACGCUGCGGUGAAUACGUUCCCGGGGCUUGUACACACCGCCCGUCAAGUCAUGAAAGUUGGUAACACCCGAAGCCGAUGGCCUAACCGUUGUGGGGGAGCCGUCGAAGGUGGGACU